rnacentral:rRNA from 1 species
GUCUUUUAGGGUUAAUUAAAAGUCGGACCUGCCCCCUGAUUAUUUAAAUGGCCGCAGUAUAUUAACUGUGCUAAGGUAGCAUAAUAAUUAGUUUUUUAAUUGAAAGCUGGAAUGAAGGGUUUGAUGAAAAAAUAGCUGUCUUAAAUUAAAUAGGUGAAUUUUAUUUUUAAGUUAAAAAGCUUAAAUAUAUAUAAGGGACGAUAAGACCCUAUAGAGUUUUAUAUUAAUUGUAAAUUAAGAAUUUAGAUAUUAAUAUUUUUUAUUUGUAUUAAUAUUUAAUUGGGGUGAUUAAAAAAUUAAAUUAACUUUUUUAUUAAAAACAAUAUAAUUGGGUUUUUGAUCCCCAAUGAGGGAUUAUAAGAUUAAAUUACCUUAGGGAUAACAGCGUUAUUAUUUUUGAGAGGCCUAAUCGAAAAAAUAGUUUGCGACCUCGAUGUUGGAUUAAAAUCAAGAAUUGGCGGAGGAGUUAAUUUGUAUAGUCCUGUUCGACUUUUAGAAUUUUACA